CUGAAGACUAAGAAAAUAGAGUCCUUAAAGUCAAGCUGAGUCUGCUGUUAGCCUCCUAAAUGAAAGGAUAGACAGAACAGGUCUUGUUUGCAAAAUAAAUUCAAGACCUACUUAUCUACCGACAGCA
rnacentral:snoRNA from 10 species